UACAGAGGUGGCAAGCGUUAUUCGGAUUCACUGGGCGUAAAGGGUGCGCAGGCGGCCAAGUGUGUGAGGCGUGAAAGCCCGGGGCUUAACCCCGGAAUUGCACCUCAAACUACAUGGCUAGAGCAUUGGAGAGGGUAGCAGAAUUCACGGUGUAGCAGUGAAAUGCGUAGAUAUCGUGAGGAAUACCAGAGGCGAAGGCGGCUACCUGGACAAUUGCUGACGCUCAGGCACGAAAGCGUGGGGAGCAAAAGGG
rnacentral:rRNA from 1 species